AAUGUUGGACAAUGGGGGAAACACUGAUCCAGCCAUCCCGCGUGUAUGAUGAAGGCCUUCGGGUUGUAAAGUACUCUUGGCAGAGUAGAAAAGGUACCUCCUAUUACGAGGUACGUCUGACGGUAUCUGCAGAAUAAGCACCGGCUAACCACGUGUCAGCAGACGCGGUAAUAAGUAGCGUGCAAGCGUUAAUCGGAAUUACUGGGCGUAUGGCGUGUGUAGGCAGUUCGGAAAGAAAGAUGUGAAAUCCCAGGGCUCAACCUUGGAACUGCAUUUUUAACAGCCGAGCUAGAGUAUGUCAGAGGGGGGUAGAAUUCCACGUGUAGCAGUGAAAUGCGUAGAUAUGUGGAGGAAUACCGAUGGCGAAGGCAGCCCCCUGGGAUAAUACUGACGCUCAGACACGAAAGCGUGGGGAGCAAACA
rnacentral:rRNA from 1 species